AACGAACGCUGGCGGCAUGCCUAACACAUGCAAGUCGAACGAGACCAUCGGGUCUAGUGGCGCACGGGUGCGUAACGCGUGGGAACCUGCCCUUAGGUUCGGAAUAACUCCCCGAAAGGGGUGCUAAUACCGGAUAAUGUCUUCGGACCAAAGAUUUAUCGCCUUUGGAUGGGCCCGCGUUGGAUUAGCUAGUUGGUAGGGUAAAAGCCUACCAAGGCGACGAUCCAUAGCUGGUCUGAGAGGAUGAUCAGCCACACUGGGACUGAGACACGGCCCAGACUCCUACGGGAGGCAGCAGUGGGGAAUAUUGGACAAUGGGCGAAAGCCUGAUCCAGCAAUGCCGCGUGAGUGAUGAAGGCCUUAGGGUUGUAAAGCUCUUUUACCCGGGAUGAUAAUGACAGUACCGGGAGAAUAAGCUCCGGCUAACUCCGU
rnacentral:rRNA from 1 species